rnacentral:rRNA from 1 species
GAUGAACGCUGGCGGCGUGCCUAAUACAUGCAAGUCGAGCGAACGGACGAGAAGCUUGCUUCUCUGAUGUUAGCGGCGGACGGGUGAGUAACACGUGGAUAACCUACCUAUAAGACUGGGAUAACUUCGGGAAACCGUAGCUAAUACCGGAUAAUAUUUUGAACCGCAUGGUUCAAAAGUGAAAGACGGUCUUGCUGUCACUUAUAGAUGGAUCCGCGCUGCAUUAGCUAGUUGGUAAGGUAACGGCUUACCAAGGCAACGAUGCAUAGCCGACCUGAGAGGGUGAUCGGCCACACUGGAACUGAGACACGGUCCAGACUCCUACGGGAGGCAGCAGUAGGGAAUCUUCCGCAAUGAGCGAAAGCCUGACGGAGCAACGCCGCGUGAGUGAUGAAGGUCUUCGGAUCGUAAAACUCUGUUAUUAGGGAAGAACAUAUGUGUAAGUAGCUGUGCACAUCUUGACGGUACCUAAUCAGAAAGCCACGGCUAACUACGUG